AUGGCGCGCGAUGCUGCGCCCACCUAUUUGGAAUCUCUACUUCUAAUGUCUGAGUUGCACCACGUCUGGUUUUAUUUCGUCCAUUCCAUCAAACCUAAGGGGAAAAAUCAGUCCCUCGAUCUAUUUCCAAAGUCAAUCGUCAGGACGCCCCAGCCGCCAGAGCCCUUCGCCACCGCCGAGAUCCGAGAGGAGCCGCCGCCUCCAGGUCAUCACCGAGGUCCGCAAUCGCCGACGUUGAGGUCCGAGAGGAGCCGCCGCCGCACCGUCUUCCUCCUCCGCCAAUCUCCGAGGCGCCCUACUCGUGCGCCGCCGUCGCCGCCUCACAGAACCCUAGGGCAGGGCAGGGCGUGGUCGCGUUGCGGGCAGCGAGGAGCGGCGCCGGCGCUUGCGUCGCCAGCCGCGGCGACCACGGACGUGGAGCUGCUGAAGCAGUUUUGGCGCAACGAGAAGGCCGCGCUGGAGAUCUGCCACUUCGACUCCGCCCUCGUCUCCCUUGCCCUAUGGCCAUUGGUUGUGUCAUCGUUCUUCACAAUACUGAAUGUUUCUGAUUCUUCACGGCCUGUGCUGAAACCAGGAGGAGACAUUGAAAAGUACAUGGCGCACAUCUCCAAUUCUUACGACCUCCUGAGCUGGUUGAUGCAGCAGGAGCAGCGAUUCACCAAGAGGUAUCUCUCAAAUCGAUCGGACUGUCUAUUGGUUGUUUGUGCUUGUUUUUUGGCUGAAAUGACCUCCCUCGUUGGGUUUGUUCUGUUGGAAGCUGCAAGGAGAUCAUGGAGAAGCAUCUCAGAGCAGUCGGUGCUGUCGAAGCUUCCCUACGGUUAUGACUCGGUAACGAGGCAAUCCUCAUCGAGCACGGAGGAUGACAUGGGUAUUCCACUUGAUCUUGAAAUUAACAUCACUUCUUUGUCACAGUUGUUGCCUCCAUUGCGCGCUCGGCCUAGCUCCUGCGCCCCCUCUCGGGCUCGACCUCCCGCUGUACCUCUCCUCGACCAACUGGCCCGCCUCCCCACAUGCAUCACCAUGCUCCCCAAUGGUGUCCGCGCCUCCGAGUAG
rnacentral:rRNA from 1 species